UAUCGGAAAGGUGAUUUUAAGAGACAUAUCAUCUCGUAUCAGAGAGACGCAAGAUAUGCUAGAUUUGUAUGGAAAUGCUUAGGAUAUAUGUAAAAUACAAUUUUGAAGCAUAAAACAUUAUAAAUAAUAAUAUGUAACAUAUAUCAUGUAUGAAAAGGAGAAUGAAGUGACAAGACAAGGGCAUUCAAUUGAUUAUGUAUACAGAAUGAGGUUUCUUACAUGUACUAAUAC